AUGUUUGCCCCUAAAUCUAUUAAGGUUUUGAUGAUAACAAAGUAUUAAUAAACAAUUGGAAGGACUAAAAAUUUAAUUUAAGUGUGCAGGACUUAGAUUCAAUUAAGCUCUGAUUAAAGAUCAGAAGAUAAGGACUUCAGAAGUUUGUAAGUGUUCAGAAGAUUGUGAGACUCAGAAGUUGUAAUCUUCAGACGAUGAAGUCUUCAGAACUUCUUAAGGUCUAAGCUUCAUCAAACUCUAAUGAUCUUCUUGAAGUUUGUAAAGAUUCUCUUUUGCAAGUCAACUCUUCUACCAAUGAAGAA
rnacentral:lncRNA from 1 species